GGGAACAUACCCUUUUCUACGGAAUAGCUCUGGGAAACUGGAAUUAAUACCGUAUACGCCCUACGGGGGAAAGAUUUAUCGGGGAAGGAUUGGCCCGCGUUGGAUUAGCUAGUUGGUGGGGUAAAGGCCUACCAAGGCGACGAUCCAUAGCUGGUCUGAGAGGAUGAUCAGCCACAUUGGGACUGAGACACGGCCCAAACUCCUACGGGAGGCAGCAGUGGGGAAUAUUGGACAAUGGGCGCAAGCCUGAUCCAGCCAUGCCGCGUGAGUGAUGAAGGCCUUAGGGUUGUAAAGCUCUUUCACCGAUGAAGAUAAUGACGGUAGUCGGAGAAGAAGCCCCGGCUAACUUCGUGCCAGCAGCUGCGGUAAUACGAAGGGGGCUAGCGUUGUUCGGAAUUACUGGGCGUAAAGCGCACGUAGGCGGAUAUUUAAGUCAGGGGUGAAAUCCCAGAGCUCAACUCUGGAACUGCCUUUGAUACUGGGUAUCUUGAGUAUGGAAGAGGUAAGUGGAAUUGCGAGU
rnacentral:rRNA from 1 species